rnacentral:rRNA from 1 species
GACGAACGCUGGCGGCGUGCUUAACACAUGCAAGUCGAGCGGAAAGGCCCUUCGGGGUACUCGAGCGGCGAACGGGUGAGUAACACGUGAGUAAUCUGCCCUUCACUCUGGGAUAGCCACCGGAAACGGUGAUUAAUACCGGAUACGACCACCGUGGGCAUCCGCUGGUGGUGGAAACUUGUGUGGGUGGGGGAUGUGCUCGCGGCCUAUCAGCUUGUUGGUGGGGUAAUGGCCUACCAAGGCUUCGACGGGUAGCCGGCCUGAGAGGGUGACCGGCCACACUGGGACUGAGACACGGCCCAGACUCCUACGGGAGGCAGCAGUGGGGAAAAUUGGACAAUGGGCGGAAGCCUGAUCCAGCAACGCCGCGUGAGGGAUGACGGCCUUCGGGUUGUAAACCUCUUUCAGCACCGACGAAGCGCAAGUGACGGUAGGUGCAGGAGAAGGACCGGCCAACUACGUGCCAGCCGCCGCGGUAAAAC